rnacentral:tRNA from 1 species
GGGCCUGUAGCUCAGUUGGUAGAGCAACUGACUUUUAAUCAGUAGGUCACGGGUUCGGAUCCCGUCGGGCUCACCA